AUUUACAGAAUUCAGGUAUGACUAGAAGCCCAGAAAAGAGUAAUGAAUUCAAUGAUGAGCCUCUGUUGCCCGCAUUACCAGUAAAAGGAGUGUCUGCUGUUACUAUAGAUGCUGAUGUACAAAGGAAUGUAUUAGCAGCUUACAGGAGACCAGAUGCACCUGAUCUAAGGC